UCUGGUUGAUCCUGCCGGACCUGACUGCUAUCGGAUUGGUACUAAGCCAUGCGAGUCAUUGUAGCAAUACAAGGCGGACGGCUCAGUAACACGUAGUCAACCUAACUCGUGGACGUGGAUAACCUCGGGAAACUGAGAAUAAACCACGAUAGAUCAUAGUGCCUGGAAUGGCUUAUGGUCCAAACAGUUUACUGCCAUGGGAUGGGACUGCGGCCUAUCAGCUUGUUGGUGAGGUAAUGGCCCACCAAGGCGAUUACAGGUACGGGCUCUGAGAGGAGAAGCCCGGAGAUGGGUACUGAGACACGGACCCAGGCCCUAUGGGGCGCAGCAGGCGAGAAACCUUAGCAAUGUGCGAAAGCACGACUGGGUCAGUCCGAGUGAUUCCUGAUAAGGGAGUCUUUUGCUUGUCCUAAAAGCACAGGUGAAUAAGGGGUGGGCAAGUCUGGUGUCAGCCGCCGCGGUAAUACCAGCACCUCGAGUGGCCAGGACGUUUAUUGGGCCUAAAGCAUCCGUAGCCGGCUUUGCAAGUCUUCGGUUAAAUCCACCUGCUCAACAGAUGGGCCGCUGGAGAUACUACAAAGCUAGGGAGUGGGAGAGGCAGACGGUAUUCAGUGGGUAGGGGUAAAAUCCUCUGAUCCAUUGAGGACCACCAGUGGCGAAGGCGGUCUGCCAGAACACGUUCGACGGUGAGGGAUGAAAGCUGGGGGAGCAAACCGGAUUAGAUACCCGGGUAGUCCCAGCUGUAAACGAUGCAAACUCGGUGAUGCAUUGGCUUAUGGCCAAUGCAGUGCCGCAGGGAAGCCGUUAAGUUUGCCGCCUGGGAAGUACGGACGCAAGUCUGAAACUUAAAGGAAUUGGCGGGGGAGCACCACAAGGGGUGAAGCCUGCGGUUCAAUUGGAUUCAACGCCGGG
rnacentral:rRNA from 1 species